rnacentral:snoRNA from 1 species
AGGACUGUACUUUAAAGGAUCAUUUCUAUAGUUUGUUACUAAAUAAGUUUCUCUAGACAUUAAAGCAAAAAAU